ACGGGUGAGUAACGCGUGGGAAUCUACCCAUCUCUACGGAAUAACGCAUGGAAACGUGUGCUAAUACCGUAUACGUCCUUCGGGAGAAAGAUUUAUCGGAGAUGGAUGAGCCCGCGUUGGAUUAGCUAGUUGGUGGGGUAAAGGCCUACCAAGGCGACGAUCCAUAGCUGGUCUGAGAGGAUGAUCAGCCACACUGGGACUGAGACACGGCCCAGACUCCUACGGGAGGCAGCAGUGGGGAAUAUUGGACAAUGGGCGCAAGCCUGAUCCAGCCAUGCCGCGUGAGUGAUGAAGGCCCUAGGGUUGUAAAGCUCUUUCACCGGUGAAGAUAAUGACGGUAACCGGAGAAGAAGCCCCGGCUAACUUCGUGCCGGCAGCCGCGGUAAUACGGAGGGGGCUAGCGUUGUUCGGAUUUACUGGGCGUAAAGCGCACGUAGGCGGACUAUUAAGUCAGGGGUGAAAUCCCGGGGCUCAACCCCGGAACUGCCUUUGAUACUGGUAGUCUUGAGUUCGAGAGAGGUGAGUGGAAUUCCGAGCGUAGAGGUGAAAUUCGUAGA
rnacentral:rRNA from 1 species